rnacentral:lncRNA from 1 species
UAUUAGCCAGUGAGACAUUCAUGUCUGCAGCAGAAAAGCAUAUAAGUCUAUUUUUAAUGCCAAGAUAUGAGCAGAUCCAAUCAAAAUGAAGUGCUUGAACUAAUYCCUGUUUUUACAUGCUAUGCUGACACUGAGCUUUUGCCUGUGUUGUGACCGUGCGCUGUGUACCAGCACCAAACCAGGCAUAUGUUGCAGAUGAAAUGCUCCUUUGUUGGUUUCGUGUUCACUUACGGAAGGUUUUGCUCUUCCCAACCAGAGGGAGAUGACUGCCAACAAGUCGUCGACCUCCUUUUCUCAGAAAGAAUUUGAAACUUUGGCAAUGGUGGAACAUCUGCAAGCACGGCUCCUAGAAACAGAGAUCCGUGCUCAGAAUGCAGAGGAGAGAUCAGAAGGUCUUGAAGAGAAGCUGGAAGAAGCUCUGGAGAGAAUCCAGGAGUUGGAGAAAGAGCUGGAGAAAGAGCACAAAUCUGUCCCAGAAGCAACAUCUAAACAAGGGCAAGAAAAAGUUUUUCAAGAAAGAGUGUCAGAAGCCCUGGCUCGCUCAACUUCGCCCAAAGCUGCUACCUCUGGCCGAUCCAAGAAACCCCGCAAAACCAAACAUUAAAGAGUAGCAAUGCCCAUGGAAAGUUUCUUAGUGCCCAUUUUAUAGUAGCGUCUCACCCCCUGAGCCACUGCCUUUACCACCUCCUCCRCUACUGCAACAUCUCUUUGCCUGUGUCUUACGUGUGCAGUAGAUUCAGCACUCCCUAGAACUGCUGAUCUCACUGUAAAUAUGCAAACAGAAGCACAACAGCAAUGUUCCUUCCACUCAGUCCACUCUGCAUUUAUGCUGUUCUUUCAGCUGGUUCUGCCACUUCUGUACUUGUCUCUGCUUAUCCUCUACUUCCCCCAUACCUCUGAAUGACUUUGCAGCUUGUUGUCUUGUAUCACUAUUGCUGCCUUGACUUUCUCCUAUGCACAUCUCUCCUGCCUGUGCUACCCACCCCCUGCCUUGCCCUGGGCUUGGCUCCUGUUUGUAUUCACCACUCUUCUCCUGUUGCUCCAUCUCAUUCUGCCUCACCCCAUGUUGAAUCAUGCAAGUAAGUUGUUUGUACCUCUUUCUUCUCAUACUGAGGGUUUUUUUUCUUAGUGCCAGUGUGGCCUGGUUGUAAGUAACUCAAGUUGCACCCUCUUGACCAAAUUCAGAAUCCUGGGUAGAUUUCUGAUCACUCUAAUCCUUUAAUUUUCUUUCCCAUUUUUGUUUYUAACUUAAAUAAAAGCUGUUGUUUUCUCA